UGGGGAAUUUUGGACAAUGGGGGAAACCCUGAUCAAGCCAUCCCGCGUGUGCGAUGAAGGCCUUCGGGUUGUAAAGCACUUUUGGCAGGAAAGAAACGUCAUGGGUUAAUACCCCGUGAAACUGACGGUACCUGCAGAAUAAGCACCGGCUAACUACGUGCCAGCAGCCGCGGUAAUACGUAGGGUGCAAGCGUUAAUCGGAAUUACUGGGCGUAAAGCGUGCGCAGGCGGUUCGGAAAGAAAGAUGUGAAAUCCCAGAGCUCAACUUUGGAACUGCAUUUUUAACUACCGGGCUAGAGUGUGUCAGAGGGAGGUGGAAUUCCGCGUGUAGCAGUGAAAUGCGUAGAUAUGCGGAGGAACACCGAUGGCGAAGGCAGCCUCCUGGGAUAACACUGACGCUCAUGCACGAAAGCGUGGGGAGCAAACAG
rnacentral:rRNA from 1 species